rnacentral:lncRNA from 1 species
UUGUUGAUGUGGAGUGGCGUAUCCUCAUUUGCUUUUGCAGCUAUUGUAUAAAGUGUAACAAAGAAUGAUUUCAUAGAUGCAAGUGAUUUUUUUUUCAGACAAUUUAAUUUAGGAGUCGUUAUACAUCGAAGGUCCUGGAUUUCGAUCUGACUUGAUUACAGUUAAAACAAUUUAUUUUUUUCCAUCGGGGUUUUAUUUUUUCUAUAACUUUCAAUUGUAAAUAAAAUUAAUAAUGUAAAUAUUGACUGUGUUUUGAUUUUCUGGAAAAAAUUGAAUUCUGUUGAACUUAAAAACCGCCUAUCAUUUAAAAUGUUUAUAUGGCCUAUGAUA